rnacentral:tRNA from 1 species
GGGGUGCUGGCGCAGUGCUAGCGCUUCUGAUUUCUGCUCCUACUUGAUUGGAUUUUUUCAAUUCAAGAGGUGGUUUACUGGGGGUCGGAUAAACCUGACCACUCACGUUCUACUCGCAAAGAGUCUUGUUUAACGUUGUCUGGCUUUAGACAAAAGUUCUCAAAGUAAACCAGGAAAAUUCAGGAGGUCAUCGGUUCGAAUCCGGUACACCCCA